AACGUAGGUACCGAGCGUUAUCCGGAUUUACUGGGCGUAAAGCGCGUUCAGGCGGUUUGGCAAGUCGGGCAUGAAAUCUCUCGGCUCAACCGGGAGAGGUUGUCCGAUACUUCCAGACUUGAGGGCAGUAGAGGGUGGUGGAAUUCCGGGUGUAGUGGUGAAAUGCGUAGAUAUCCGGAGGAACACCAGUGGCGAAGGCGGCAUCCUGGACCAUUACUGACGCUGAGGCGCGAAAGCUAGGGGAGCAAACGGG
rnacentral:rRNA from 1 species